rnacentral:rRNA from 1 species
UGGGGAAUUUUGCGCAAUGGGCGAAAGCUUGACGCAGCAACGCCGCGUGAGUGAAGAAGGCCUUUGGGUUGUAAAGCUCUUUCGGCAGGGAAGAAGGGCGCUACGGUAAACAAUUGUAGCGUUUGACUGUACCUGAAGAAGAAGCACCGGCUAACUCCGUGCCAGCAGCCGCGGUAAUACGGAGGGUGCAAGCGUUGUUCGGAAUUACUGGGCGUAAAGGACGCGUAGGCGGGCGUGCAAGUCGAUUGCGAAAGCCCCGGGCUUAACCUGGGAACGGCAGUCGAUACUGCAUGUCUUGAGUGCUUGAGAGGGUGCUGGAAUUCCUGGUGUAGAGGUGAAAUUCGUAGAUAUCAGGAGGAACACCGGAGGCGAAGGCGGGCACCUGGUGAGACACUGACGCUGAAGCGUGAAAGUGCGGGGAUCAAACAGG